rnacentral:piRNA from 1 species
UAGAGGGACAAAUGCCUCUCGAAGGUAGGAC